rnacentral:rRNA from 1 species
UACGUAGGCAGCGAGCGUUGUUCGGAGUUACUGGGCGUAAAGUGUGCGUAGGCGGUUUUGUAAGUUUGGUGUGAAAUCUCCCGGCUCAACUGGGAGGGUGCGCCGAAAACUGCAAGGCUGGAGUGUGGGAGAGGUAGGCGGAAUUCCUGGUGUAGCGGUGAAAUGCGUGGAUAUCAGGAGGAACACCUGUGGUGUAGACGGCUUACUGGACCAUGACUGACGCUGAGGCACGAAAGCGUGGGGAGCAAACAGG